GUGGGCUAUCCGAGUUUAAACUCCAACCCAUGUGAACAUACCUAUUGUUGCUUCGGCGGGACUGCCCCGGGCGCCUCGUGUGCCCCGGAUCAGGCGCCCGCCUAGGAAACUCAACUCUUGUUUUAUUUUGGAAUCUUCUGAGUAGUUUUUACAAAUAAAUAAAAACUUUCAACAACGGAUCUCUUGGUUCUGGCAUCGAUGAAGAACGCAGCGAAAUGCGAUAAGUAAUGUGAAUUGCAGAAUUCAGUGAAUCAUCGAAUCUUUGAACGCACAUUGCGCCCGCCAGUAUUCUGGCGGGCAUGCCUGUCUGAGCGUCAUUUCAACCCUCAUGCCCCUAGGGCGUGGUGUUGGGGAUCGGCCAAAGCCCGCGAGGGACGGCCGGCCCCUAAAUCUAGUGGCGGACCCGUCGUGGCCUCCUCUGCGAAGUAGUGAUAUUCCGCAUCGGAGAGCGACGAGCCCCUGCCGUUAAACCCCCAACUUUCCAAGGUUGACCUCAGAUCAGGUAGGAAUACCCGCUGAACUUAAGCAUAUCAAAAGGCGGAGGAA
rnacentral:rRNA from 1 species